AGAGCCAUUUUGUUUUUAUUUUUUUUAGGUUUUGAAACAAGGAAACAAACUUUUAUGAGGGGAAACAACUAAUCUUCUAAGGUAAUAGUAGAGGCCAUUUUAGAAAACGUGUAGCAAAACGCCAUUAAAAGAGCUAUUCAAGAAAUAACUACUUUAGUACUGCUAAUUACAAGUAAAAAUGUUUUUUCUUAGAAAAUUAGAUUAUAUCACAUAACCCACACAGAGGGUAAGCCAAAAAAGAUAACCUCUUAAAAAUUGCUGACUGCUUAACGACAUUGACAAUCAAUAGAAAUAGUGGCAUACAUGGUGCAAAUGUAUACAAUUUAUUUAAUUAUUUAUUGGAUUUUGUGACAGCCGACCCUACUGUCACACAGACCUGAAUGUUUCCUUUGGAGCUGCUGCUGGAGGGUCACAGAAGAGCUCCAGCUAAUUGACAUCCAUAUAUGGCUGGCAAACCUCCUCAGCGGGCCAUUCCAUUUGUUUGCCAGGGGACGGGGAAAUUUGGUUUUCUUUCAUUUAAUUUGACCAGUUCUUUAAUGUCUCUUCCAUUUGGUAGUUUCAGUCCAAUGUUUGUUUAAUUUAAAGAUUUGGUGUUGUAUUGAUUAGUAUUUAUUUAAGUUUUUGUAUGUUUAAUUACCCCUUGUGUGUCAGCUGUGGUCUGAUCAGCCACUAUUUAAGCUCCCCUCAUGUCUUGUUUGUUAGGUCAGUUUUGUGCUUGAGUUCUUUGUGUUACUACCUGAGUUGGAGUUUGUUAUGUUGACCUCAGUUUUUGGGCCCAGUUCUUCAUUGUUUAAUUAUUUUUGAACUUUUUUGUAAUAAAUUAAGAUUAUUUUUGGAUUCCA